rnacentral:rRNA from 1 species
AAUAGCGUAUAUUAAAGUUGUUGCAGUUAAAAAGCUCGUAGUUGGAUUUGUGGCGUACGGUGUGUUCCGGGCACUUGUUGUCUGAGUAACCUGCUGUUGCCAUCCUUGGGUGGAACCUGUGUGGCAUUAGGUUGUCGUGCAGGGGAUGCCCAUCAUUUACUGUGAAAAAAUUAGAGUGUUCAAAGCAGGCUUAUGCCGUUGAAUAUAUUAGCAUGGAAUAAUGAGAUAGGACUUUUUUGCUAUUUUGUUGGUUUGCGCAAAGAGGUAAUGAUUAAUAGGGACAGUUGGGGGUAUUCGUAUUCCAUUGUCAGAGGUGAAAUUCUUGGAUUUUUGGAAGACGAACUACUGCGAAAGCAUUUACCAAGGAUGUUUUCAUUAA